CAGUCGUACCGGCGGAUAAUCAGCCUUUCGGGUGCGAUUCUGUGGGGCGUGAGGAGCUUAACCGCCUUCAUGUAUUGCAUAUUUGUGCUCUUGGGUGUACUUGUCCGUGUGGUUGGUUAACAUCAAUUUUGGUGGUCAUAAAAUGACUGGAGGAAUGUAGCUUCGAUCUUGUAUUGAAGUGUUAUAGCCUUCGGUAGAUGUGAUGAUCGAGAUUGAGGAUUGCAACGGAUACCCCUUCGGGGCUACCC
rnacentral:rRNA from 1 species